CAGUAGCCGCGGGAAUACAGAGGGUGCGAGCGUUAAUCGGAUUUACUGGGCGUAAAGCGUGCGUAGGCGGCUUUUUAAGUCGGAUGUGAAAUCCCUGAGCUUAACUUAGGAAUUGCAUUCGAUACUGGGAAGCUAGAGUAUGGGAGAGGAUGGUAGAAUUCCAGGUGUAGCGGUGAAAUGCGUAGAGAUCUGGAGGAAUACCGAUGGCGAAGGCAGCCAUCUGGCCUAAUACUGACGCUGAGGUACGAAAGCAUGGGGAACAAACAGGAUUAGAUACCCCAGUAGUCCCUGUCUCUUAUAA
rnacentral:rRNA from 1 species